rnacentral:rRNA from 1 species
GGGUGCUCGGGUGGCGAACGGGUGAGUAACACGUGAGUAACCUGCCCUUGACUUUGGGAUAACUUCAGGAAACUGGGGCUAAUACCGGAUAGGAGCUCCUGCUGCAUGGUGGGGGUUGGAAAGUUUCGGCGGUUGGGGAUGGACUCGCGGCUUAUCAGCUUGUUGGUGGGGUAGUGGCUUACCAAGGCUUUGACGGGUAGCCGGCCUGAGAGGGUGACCGGCCACAUUGGGACUGAGAUACGGCCCGG